CCCUCACGGUACAUGUAACGUUUCGUUCAACUUUACGUUUUAAAUAUCGCGAUUAUCGAGUUACCGAUAUAUUUAUGCGUCGUGAUUAUCAAUUAGUGUCGUGAACGUUGGUCCAUCGUCGGUGGUCGGGUCGAUCCUCGUUGCGCUAUAUCUCUGAACGUGGUCGUGCGAUGAUUCGACGAGAGAGAGCCAGUAAGUUGGCGACGUGGUGCUAGAUUGUCGAUGCGGUACUCGCGACACCCUAUUCGCCGACCUUCGUGAUUCUCGCUCCUUCGGUGUCUCCGCGUCAUCGAUCCUCUUUGGGUGACAGUGAUCGAGUCUUCGUUUCGGAAGGAUGUAAACUGCUGGAAUUUCUGGCGGUGGAGAAUAUCGAGGAAGAAACGGCAGAAGAAGAGACGCGUGAAUUGGAUCUGCAAGGAAGAAGGUGUGAACUGAGAAAGAGAGAGAGAGAGAGAGAGAGUAGUGGCCUGUGGUUUUUCGGGCUUGCUCGAGAGCAAUCGUCGAGAGGUGAUCUAGCCGUCGGAUCGGGGUUCAGAUUCGAUCCCUGAUCGGCUGGGGAAUAAAACGAAGGAUCACAGUGUAUAUCUCGAAAUAUGAAUAAACACGAGAUCCUCCUAAAUCAAUCUGUACUUCGAGAAGAUCGAGAGUGAACGGAAAGUCUCGUAAUUAAGUGAAAGUCUAAAAGCACGCGAUUCUGUUGGAAGCUGUCUCUUCUUCGUAGUCUGGUUGAACGAGUGGCGAAAGAAUCGAAAGGCAUUCCAGAAGCGUAAAAAUAGGCACGGGCAUAUUUGUGUGAUGAUUCGAUGUACGACGGAAGAGAAUUCAAGGGUCAAGUUGCUGUUUUAUGAUUCCGUCCCGUUUCUCGAAAUAUCCACGUGAAAAGGAGGGAAGAAGGAACGAUCGCGGGCGUAGCGGUUCUUUUAAAGAACGAGCACGUGAAAGAUAAAGGUUGAGAAACUCGACGUCGAUUGCCUCAAAUGGAAGAACUAGCGUUUUCAUCCGAUCAACGUCAUCCGAUAUCUGGACGAUAAGUCAGCCAACUGAACGACCGCGAGAGCCGUCUCGUCGGAUUGUCCCCUCGAGAUCGAUCGAUUCGUCUAUUUUUCCUUGGUUUUUCGGUCGUUUGAAAGAUCGCGA